rnacentral:rRNA from 1 species
UACGUAGGGGGCUAGCGUUGUCUGGAAUCAUUGGGCGUAAAGAGCGUGUAGGCGGCCCGGUAAGUCCGCUGUGAAAGUCGGGGGCUCAACCCUCGAAUGCCGGUGGAUACUGUCGGGCUAGAGUGCGGAAGAGGCGAGUGGAAUUCCUGGUGUAGCGGUGAAAUGCGCAGAUAUCAGGAGGAACACCGAUUGCGAAGGCAGCUCGCUGGGACGGAACUGACGCUGAGGUGCGAAAGCGUGGGGAGCAAACAGG